rnacentral:rRNA from 1 species
UACGGGGGGGGCAAGCGUUGUUCGGAAUUACUGGGCGUAAAGGGCUCGUAGGUGGCCAACUAAGUCAGACGUGAAAUCCCUCGGCUUAACCGGGGAACUGCGUCUGAUACUGGAUGGCUUGAGUUCGGGAGAGGGAUGCGGAAUUCCAGGUGUAGCGGUGAAAUGCGUAGAUAUCGGGAGGAACACCGGUGGCGAAGGCGGCAUCCUGGACCGACACUGACGCUGAGGAGCGAAAGCCAGGGGAGCAAACGGG